rnacentral:tRNA from 1 species
GCGAGAGUGGCGGAAUGGUAGACGCAGUCGGCUCAAAAUCGACCGCCUUAACAGGCAUGGGGGUUCAAGUCCCCCCUCUCGCACCA